UCCCUGGUGGACAAGUGGCUAGCGUCCGGCACGCUCAUCGCAGCAGUCCGAGUUCGAUUCCCGGUCAGGGAA